rnacentral:miRNA from 1 species
GCAGACACAUUCCAGCCAAUCAGCAGCAGACCCUCCCUCCCAGACCCUCCCACCUCCUGGACAGCAUCCAUUUUGAAGCUGCAUUCUUAGUGAGCUGUCCAGGAGGUGGGAGGGUAUGGGAGGGAGGGUCUGCUGCUGAUUGGCUGGAAUGUGUCUG